rnacentral:rRNA from 1 species
GACAGAGGAGGCGAGCGUUAUCCGGAGUUAUUGGGCGUAAAGGGUACGUAGGCGGCUAGUCAAGUCUGAGGUUAAAGACCACAGCUCAACUGUGGGAAGGCCUUGGAAACUGACUGGCUAGAGUGGGGCAGGGGUUGCGGGAAUUCCCGGUGUAGCGGUGAAAUGCGUAGAUAUCGGGAAGAACACCUGAGGCGAAAGCGCGCAACUGGGCCCUCACUGACGCUGAGGUACGAAAGCUAGGGGAGCGAAUGGG